rnacentral:rRNA from 1 species
UACGUAGGUGGCGAGCGUUGUCCGGAUUUACUGGGCGUAAAGGGAGCGUAGGCGGAUUUUUAAGUGAGAUGUGAAAUACUCGGGCUCAACUUGAGUGCUGCAUUUCAAACUGGAAGUCUAGAGUGCAGGAGAGGAGAAUGGAAUUCCUAGUGUAGCGGUGAAAUGCGUAGAGAUUAGGAAGAACAUCAGUGGCGAAGGCGAUUCUCUGGACUGUAACUGACGCUGAGGCUCGAAAGCGUGGGGAGCAUACAGG